GACGAACGCUGGCGGCGUGCUUAACACAUGCAAGUCGAACGGUAAGACCCUUCGGGGUACACGAGUGGCGAACGGGUGAGUAACACGUGGGUGAUCUGCCCUGCACUUCGGGAUAAGCCUGGGAAACUGGGUCUAAUACCGGAUAGGACCAUUGCCUGCAUGGGUGGUGGUGGAAAGCUUUUGCGGUGUGGGAUGGGCCCGCGGCCUAUCAGCUUGUUGGUGGGGUGAUGGCCUACCAAGGCGACGACGGGUAGCCGGCCUGAGAGGGUGACCGGCCACACGGGGACUGAGAUACGGCCCAGGCUCCCGCGGGAGGCAGCAGUGGGGAAUAUUGCACAAUGGGCGCAAGCCUGAUGCAGCGACGCCGCGUGAGGGAUGACGGCCUUCGGGUUGUAAACCUCUUUCAGCAUCGACGAAGCGCAAGUGACGGUAGGUGCAGAAGAAGGACCGGCCAACUACGUGCCAGCCGCCGCAGUAA
rnacentral:rRNA from 1 species